rnacentral:rRNA from 1 species
UACGAAGGGGGCUAGCGUUGCUCGGAAUCACUGGGCGUAAAGGGUGCGUAGGCGGGUUUUAAGUCAGGGGUGAAAUCCUGGAGCUCAACUCCAGAACUGCCUUUGAUACUGAAGAUCUUGAGUCCGGGAGAGGUGAGUGGAACUGCGAGUGUAGAGGUGAAAUUCGUAGAUAUUCGCAAGAACACCGGUGGCGAAAGCGGCUCUCUGGCCCGGUUCUGACGCUGAGGCGCGAAAGCGGUGGGGAGCAAACAGG